CUACGGGGGGCAGCAGUGGGGAAUAUUGGACAAUGGGCGAAAGCCUGAUCCAGCCAUGCCGCGUGUGUGAAGAAGGCCUUCGGGUUGUAAAGCACUUUCAGUGGGGAAGAAAGCCUUGGGGCUAAUACCCUCGAGGAAGGACAUCACCCACAGAAGAAGCACCGGCUAACUCCGUGCCAGCAGCCGCGGUAAUACGGAGGGUGCGAGCGUUAAUCGGAAUUACUGGGCGUAAAGCGCGCGUAGGCGGUCUGAUAAGCCGGUUGUGAAAGCCCCGGGCUCAAUCUGGGAACGGCAUCCGGAACUGUCAGGCUAGAGUGCAGGAGAGGAAGGUAGAAUUCCCGGUGUAGCGGUGAAAUGCGUAGAGAUCGGGAGGAAUACCAGUGGCGAAGGCGGCCUUCUGGACUGACACUGACGCUGAGGUGCGAAAGCGUGGGUAGCAAACAGGAUUAGAUCCCCAGUAGUC
rnacentral:rRNA from 1 species